AUGAGCACUCAGCCAACUUCAUUGACAAGUCAAGAGGAGGCGGAAAAGACCUCAAUAGGAGGAAUAGAACAUUGCGACCUGUUCCUUAUUCGCCUGUCAACGGCCGCUCUCGUUACUCGCGCCGUUAGAAUUAUCAAUGGUAAACUCAGUCAUUUUUUGCAAUUUUUUAAAGAUAAUUUAUACUCACUUUUUUCUUGUUUCAAUGUUAUUUGGUCCAUAAAGUAAGUAAAUAGUAUGGAAGCCUUGUUUUGAAAUCUUAGUUUAAGAUGUUACCUUUGGUAUUGACUUUAACGAUUUUUGUUAUUAAUUUGCUUUGUUUCUUCCUUACUACUGUAUUUUUAAUUAGUUAGUAAUCUUGUUAAGAAAAGUGUGCGCCUAUUCAUAACAUUCUCGUCAAAUUUUGCCAUGUCGAUUUAACGAUUGACUCUGAAACAGUUUCUCCCCUUUGAAAUGUUAUAAAUUCUGAAGUAUUUAGUAAUCUUGUUAAGAAAAGUGUACGCUUAUUCAUAACAUUCUUGUCAAAUUUUGCCAUGUCGAUGUAAAGAUUGACUCUGAAACAGUUUCUUGCCCUUUGAAAUGUUGUAAAUUCUGAAGUAUUCAAGUCGACAUUUUUGGAACAGAUAGGCAUUUCAGACUCAUGACAGAAAGAUUAGUAUCGUGUCGAAUAAUCGGAAAAACACCCAAACGAAUGCAUUUUGUAAAGUGUCCGUAAAGUUUUUUGUUUUUUUUUUUUUUUUUGUUCAUUGAGUCUCGUAAAAGUUUUUCUCUAUCCUCAUCUAGUUUCCAUUAUUUUAUAUUUAUUUAAGGAAAACAUUUUUAAAAAUGUUAUUGUUACAGGAAAAUUUAUGUUUGUCCGAAGAAAUUUUUUUUUUUUUAAAUUUUUAUGUUUAUUGGUGGUAGUACUAGCUCUGUAUUCUAUAUUUUCAACAUAGCAAAUUGAUGUUUUACGCAGUUUGAAAAACCUGUGAUAUGAGGUUUUCUCAGUACCUAGUUGCCAUUAUCUGAAGUCAUAUUAAACUCGGUGCCUUCUUUGAAAAAUCUUGCGUUCUUCUUCUUUCUUUUUUU
rnacentral:lncRNA from 1 species